AUUCUCUUUCUCUUGGAAUUCUCCAUCCUUAUUCGUGCGUUACUUACAAGAAAUCGCAAUGCAAUCAAUGAUGAAAGGUCAAGGACAAGAAACAAGCUAGGAUGGAUUUUAGAAACCCAUUUUAGUAUUUCAAAUUUUUGUUGCACCUUUGUUUGUUUAUUUGAGACUAUGUAAUUCACUUUGGUUAUUAAUAAAAUGAUUUAAAUUAUAUUGUC
rnacentral:lncRNA from 1 species